AACGUAGGACGCAAGCGUUAUCCGGAGUUACUGGGCGUAAAGCGCGAGCAGGCGGCUUCUUAAGUCUGAUGUGAAAGCGCCCGGCUCAACCGGGCGAGGCCAUUGGAAACUAGGGAGCUGGAGGGCAGUAGAGGCAGGCGGAAUUCCGGGUGGAGUGGUGGAAAUGCGUAGAGAUCCGGAGGAACACCAGAGGCGAAGGCGGCCUGCUGGGCUGCACCGUGACGCUGAGCCGCGAAAGCCAGGGGAGCGAACGGG
rnacentral:rRNA from 1 species